GCCCCCAUAGCUCAGCGGUCAGAGCAGGCGACUCAUAAUCGCUUGGUCACUGGUUCAAUCCCAGUUGGGGGCA
rnacentral:tRNA from 1 species